ensembl:lncRNA
UUUUUUUUUUUUCAUUUCUUGUUUUAUGAGUAGUUUGAUGAUUGCAGCAGUGAUUUUAUAAUUUAAUUACCUUUGUUGAAAGCUAAGCUUUUGCUAAUAGCGGGUCAACAGGAUCAUAAAGCAGUCUUCAAAAAUAUUAAAAAGGAGGUAAAUCCCCUUAGCUAACCUACACAAUAACAACGUGGGCACGCGUGCGUAUGCGAUGCAUUUUAUAGACGUAUGUACAUAGACACUCGAAGCCUGUUCCCGUGUUAUUUGUUUACUGUGCUAUUUCAGAUCAGUAUUUACUCUCUGAAGGGACUUGUUAUGCAUUAAUCAGAUGCAAGGAAAAAAAUCAAGCAGGGAAGUUGCAGAGGCGCCCAGCCAGGGGCCGAGUUGUGCCAUCAAGGGCAGCACCAGUGCCCGCAGCAGCACCAGCCGGGGCCUUCCACCACCCCUUCCACAACUACUUUGUGCUUUUAUAUUUCUAAAGCAACCUAUUUUACUCUGGGAGAUAAAAGAUAGCUGUUGACCUGUGCUGCUUGUGCAAGAGUAUUCCCUAUCUUAUUUAUAUGCCAAAUGUCACUUGUGUUUAUUUAAGAAUUUUUGCUCAUACCUCCUCGUCGUGGUGCUCCCCAGUGAUACGCUUUCCACACAGUCAACAAGCCAGCAGUGUCCCACCAUCCGCUGGAGCUUCCUGCUUGGAACAGCACCUUCCCUAGCACACAUGGGCACUUCUAUAUCCACACACUUCCAUGUGGCUCCAUGCCGAGCACACUGGGUGAUGCCCUCCCAGUGGGAGCUGCUGGGACACCAAGGUGCUGUAGCACUUGCCUAGCAUUUCCUCCAAUUCCUGUCUCUGCCAAUGAGUGGCCUCUUUUUUUUUUUUUUCACCCCAGUGUUGAGUUGGAAUAAAUACAAAGUUGGAAUAAAUAAAAAAUUAGAAGCGGCAGACUUAACCAGCCCAACCUCUGGCUAGAUGCUAGCCUGGUAACCUGGAGUGAAAGGGACUUCCAUGCUGCUAUCAAUUUUCAUUUGGUUUAUAUGAAAAUAGCCAAUCCAGGAGGAAAGUGGACAACAAAAAAUCAGUUCAUUUUUUCCAUUCUUCUGUUACAAAUGCAUCCUUCAGGACUGAUCCAGGAGACAGCUGCUGAAUAUCCCAGCUGAACUGGAAGGUCUUAUGGCAAAUGGGAACAUCAUCCAGUGUCUGAAUGGCUGAGAGAUGAGAUCAAACCCUUCAUACGAGAGCAUUGCCCAUGUACGAAGUGCCAUCUCAUUAUUCCAUAGUCCUGGGGCAGCACUGGGGCCACAGGUGGCCGGCCAGUGGCAGAACCACAAGGGAACACACCUGAGUAUAGGCAAUCCCUACAGGAUUUCCCCUGCUUUGGUAACUUCCAACAUCCUUUAAAAAUGUGAUCAUGAAAUGCUAUUUCUUCUCUAUUUAUCUUGGCGCUACAAAACUGCCUAACUAUUGGCUCUACGUGAGCUCUUUUAUAAUAUUUUUCCAAUCACAAACACCAUUGCAUUGUUCCCUUGGGAUUUCCUUGAUGGAUCUAUCUAUCUAUCUAUUUAUGCGUUCAUGAAUCAAAUCAUUGGAGUGAUGAAAGUUUGUAUAAUCUACAGCUUUCAUAAGAUUUCACUGAACUUGUACUUCAGGGUGAUUUCCAGGAGUGUGACGCUAUGCGCAUCCCUCUGGGUGAACAUUGAACACCUCUUCUCUUCCCAUGGAAUUUACUGUGCUGUCAAAAAUGCCCAGCAAGCUCACUCCAAAAUCAAACCUUAAAAUACAUGUCCAGCUCUGAGCCUGCAAUGGGAGUUUCAAGAACAGAGAUAUUUUAAUGUGAAGCUGAAUCAAAAAAAUAACCAUCAGAACUGUCCUCCUGCACACACACACGCUGGAAAUUUUAUUACUGAGAUAUUUGGGGCUUUCCUGAUAGAGAAUAAAAGACAAAUAAUCAAACUCACUGGAAAAUAUUUACGUAGGGCCACAGAGUGCAAACCUUAGGAAAGCUGAGCAGUAUUUACUCCUGGGUAUAGUUCUGGUGCAGACACCGCAGUGCACAGCGCUUGCCCGUCCGGGGAUUUGGGGAGAGUUUGUCUGAGUCAGACACGCAGGCAAUGGCCCCACACUGGGGCAUCAUAAUGCUUUAAUUAAUUAAUGUCUGUAAACUGUUUGGUGAUCUCGGGAUGAAAGGAGUUCUAGAAAUGCCAGGUAUUAUUGAAAAUUAAUUACUCCAGCCUUUCCCCCAAAUCUUGCUAAACAUAUUUCAUUUUUUAAUCUAUCCUGCUGCUUAAAUAAAGCUCACUGCAGAAUUAUUUUCUGUUAAAUAUCAAAGAAAAUAAAGAGGGUGCCAUCUAAGCAGCAGAUCGAGCUGCCGUGCAAGGCGUUUUGGGCAGGCAGGGACAUGAGACACGGGUGUGUUGGGGCAAGGUGACCAAGCCAAGGCCAAGCACUUGUGCAGUGCUGGAGGAGCACCAGAAGACCAAGCUGCGGGAGAUGCGGAACUCAUUUGGGAGAUCCAAGGGCAGAACAAGCUGUUCCAGCCACCGCCGAGUGCUCCUGCCGGCAAAUCAAUCGCUCUAAAUGCUAUUCAUCAUUCAAUCAAAGGGAGACAGAACGUGUAUAUUAUUUAUACAAGUCUAAAAUCAUUUUGUGUUACUUACUGAAGAGUCACCUUCUGCAUCAUCGUGAAGCAAAAGGGAGGACUUGGAAGGGAUUUCAUGCACCAGACCCAGCAGGCAUAUUCAUGGUCAAAGCAAGAAAUGGUCAAAGCAAGAAGCUGCACAAAACAAACAAAGCAGAAGCUGUUACAGUAUUAUUCAAGGUUGCAGAUUUAUAUGCAUGCACUUUAAUUUAUAUAGUGUACAAAUUGAUGAUCUUGUUGUUGAUUAUAAGAGUUAAUCUUGUGAUCUGUCUCAGGCAUUAUAAGACCAUAGUAAUGUUGGAGCGCUUUAGUGGUUCUCCAUUCAGCAGGUCAACCCUUCCACUUUUUCAAGCAGACAAAGCCCAGAUCCAACACAGGUCUCCUAGGGUGCUCAGGGGCAAAAAAGAAUGAAGUAAUUCUUAUCUGCUUAGUUCCAGUGGAACAUGUUCUGAUCAAUUUUAACAAUGCAAGUUGUCUAUUCCGCAGUCUAGUAAACACUGCAGUCAGCUGUCUUCUCCUGGAUUGUCCUACUCUGUUUCUCUUGUUGGAGCCACUUGGGUUUCCUGAGAUAAGGAAGUUACUGUAUUAGCAGGGCCUCCACAGCUGCUGCAGUCAGAGCAACCACCACCACUGGCCACUCCUCCUUCUCCUCUUCCUCCUCUUUCUUCUGCAACCCCAGCAAAUUGGCAGGAGGAGUGGGCUGUGUCUGAAAACACGUCCUCCAUCAUGGCUGAAUGGCGGUGGGAUCUCCACUGUUCUGCAACUUCUUCCCACCAGUUCUGGAAAAGAGGAAAUCCUUCUUUACCGUCCUGGAUCAAAUCCACAACUCAAGUCUCACCCAUUCCAAUUUUCAGAAAAAAAAUAUGUUUUACCAAAUAUUGCUCUGGAUGCUUCCAACAGC